AGAAACAGAAGAAGGAAGAAAUGAAGAAAAGUAUUUCCCGCCUUGCCAAGUAGACGUUCGAUCAUGUUGUGUGUUGGAGAUUGCUGUUUAGACGGAGGGAGAGAACAUUGCUCCCCUGAAGUGCUGACAUAGGGGAGAUGGGCAGGAGCCUGCAGUAGAAAGCUUUAUUCUGCAAGGAUGCUGGUUUCCUGAUGAGGCUGUUAGAAGAAAAUUCAGUGCAAACGCUGAGAGGUGAGGAGGUUUGCCCAAGACACUGCUGUCAAGGGGAUUGUAGAGCAAACAUCUGGUAUUCCAGGCACAUGCUGCUUCCACCUUUUCAUCUGCAGGCAAGUAUAACUUGUAUA